rnacentral:pre_miRNA from 9 species
CAUCAUUUGUUGACAACGAGAGAGAGCACGCUUGUUAGCCUUCAUGUAAGGAACAUGGUUGCACACCAGCGUGCUCCCUAUCGUUGUCAAU